rnacentral:misc_RNA from 1 species
GAUGAAGAACGCAGCGAAAUGCGAUAAGUAGUGUGAAUUGCAGAAUUCAGUGAAUCAUCGAAUCUUUGAACGCACAUUGCGCCUCCUGGUAUUCCGGGAGGCAUGCCUGUUCGAGCGUCAUUAAAAUCACUCAAGCUUAGGUUUACCUAUUGCUUGGUCUUGGAGAUGGAAGCCAAUUUAUUGGAAUCCUCUUCGAAAUUCAAUGGCGAAGACCCUUGCUCUCCCAAGUGUAGUAAUAACUUAUGUCACUGAAGGAAGCGAGAAAUCUUCUGCCGUAACCCCUAUAUUUUCUAUGAUUGACCUCGGAUCAGGUAGGGAUACCCGCUGAACUUAAGCAUAUCAAUAAGCGGAGGA